rnacentral:rRNA from 1 species
GGGACGAACGCUGGCGGCGUGCUUAACACAUGCAAGUCGAGCGGAAAGGCCCUUCGGGGUACUCGAGCGGCGAACGGGUGAGUAACACGUGAGUAAUCUGCCCCUAGCUCUGGGAUAGCUCCGGGAAACCGGGAUUAAAUACCAGAUACGACCACUUUAGACAUCUGUUGUGGUGGAAAGAAUUUUGGCUAGGGAUGAGCUCGCGGCCUAUCAGUCUUGUUGGUGAGGUAACGGCUCACCAAGGCGACGACGGGUA